GACGAACGCUGGCGGCGUGCUUAACACAUGCAAGUCGAACGAUGAAGUUCCUUCGGGAAUGGAUUAGUGGCGAACGGGUGAGGAACACGUGAACAAUCUGCCCCUUACACGGGAAUAACUUCGGGAAACCGAAGCUAAUACCCGAUAUUGAAUUCGGUAGGCAUCUACUGAAUUUGAAAUGGUCCGCCGGUAAGGGAUGAGUCGCGGCCUAUCAGCUUGUUGGUGAGGUAACGGCUCACCAAGGCGACGACGGGUAGCCGGCCUGAGAGGGCGACCGGCCACACUGGGACUGAGACACGGCCCAGACUCCUACGGGAGGCAGCAGUGGGGAAUAUUGCUCAAUGGACGAAAGUCUGACGCAGCAACGCCGCGUGAGGGAUGACGGCCUUCGGGUUGUAAACCUCUUUCAAUCGGGACGAAGCGAAAGUGACGGUACCGAUACAAGAAGCACCGGCUAACUAUGUGCCAGCAGCCGCCGUAA
rnacentral:rRNA from 1 species